GUAAAACAUGGUCAGAAGUGAGGAGGACACUGCUGCCACCCCCAGCUCCACAUAGCUCUGUCUCAACAUCUGGCUGACACAGGAAUACUGAGUCUGGCUGCUGAAACUGGCUCUAGAGCCUCACAUCUUUGUGUCCUUGCUGUCAGCAGAAGUGACGGCAGGAAGAUGGUCUCUACCCCCCAAAUCUCUGCUGGGGCACCUAAUUGUCAGACCUUGGGUUAUAGUCAUAACUCUAGCUACAAAGGAGUCUUGGAAAUGUAGUAUUUUUUCUUUCCAGCCUCUACAAAAGCACCCUGUAGGGAAGUAGAGGGAGCCAGCUGUAUCAGUUGGCUCCCUCUCUCUCUCUCUCUCUAAAUAUAUGUUUUAUUUAUUUUUAGAGAGAUAGGAAGGGAGAGGGAUAGAGAGAAGCAUCAAUGAGACUGGAACAUCAUCAAUCAGCUGACUCCUGCAUGCCCCAGUAGGGAUCAAGUCCACCACUCGGAUAUGUGCCCUGACUGGGAAUCAAACCGUGACCUUCUGGUUCAUAGGUCGACACUCAAACCCUGAGCUACUCCUGCUGGGCUAAUUUUUAAUGAGGUUGAACUCCUCAAGAGAAGAUUGCCAAGCCUGCAGCCUAGAACCAGAUAAGGAACCCAAGGACCACAGCAAAGAAACGGGUCUGUGCCCUGGCCGGAUGGCUCAAAGACGGCAUCUGAAACCCCUUCCCACGUUACCUUUGACAAACUUUCCUUCAUGCCAGGGAUGGAAAUGUAACAUUAAAAUGAUACAUGCAAUGUAUGGCUAGGCGUGUUCCAAGCAUGUUAGGGAACUGGGCAUGCUCCCAGAACCCUCCACCCUUCCUUGAGCCUGCCUAACUACUCCCCGCUCCCAAACCCUUUAAGAUUUUCCUAGGGAAGGAAGGGAAUAGAGGUGGAAGAGGGCCUAGAGGAGAUUAAUGGUGAUGAUAAAAAUAAAAACAAUUAAAUAAAA